CGCACAAAUUAAUACCGAUGCAGCAUUUUUACCGGGAAGUAUUCUAGGUAUCGUUAUUUAUAUUUUGACCACUGGGAAGGGAUUAGCAAUCAUCACUAUUGAUUACAGAAUAGAAUAUGAGAUUGAGCAUCUAUCAUUGCAUGUAUAAUUGAGAACAUUAUAUCUAACUCUUCAUACAGAGAUAAGUGUCACAUAAAAGAUAUAUGAAAUAAUAAUAAUAGUGACAAGGAUAACUAAUCUGAUCUAGCCACAUAAUAAAUAUGAUAAGCACCUCAAUUAGAUACUCUAGAAAGUCAUUAGCUUGGUAUUAGAAUGAACUACA
rnacentral:lncRNA from 1 species